rnacentral:lncRNA from 1 species
GUGGCUUUCUCAUUGAGUCAAAGAUUAUCAACCGGUUCUUGGGAAUUUCAAUGACCAUGAGUAUCCAGUGAAAGCUGUUUACAUACACAUAUAUAUAGUCAAGCCUAUAUAUAACUAUAUAAAACUUGUCUCGAAUAAUAAUAAGUAAAAUAAAAUAUGCAUGCACUUAAUUACUAUAUAACUCACUCAAAGUUGAAGGGGAAGAGUAUUUUUUUGUUUUUCUUUUUGCUUCACAAAGAACCUCAUAAUAUUGGUGUAGACUUCUGUCUCAUGAGAUGCUGUCCACACUGCCUGCGGAGCCUUGAAAACAAUAUAAGGGUCAACGAACCCAAUACUAUUGUCAUUUCUGAUUCUGAGCUCUCUCAUUUGGUGCCUGCAUAUAUACAUACAAAUCCUAAGUGUGUAAGGAUUAUAUACAUGUAAUUAAAGAAGUUAGAAGUAUAAUAAAAAAAGAAAUACUUACAGACAAAAGCAGCUGACAAGAGAUUUGUCGAGAGCGUCGAGGUGACAUAAUUGGUGUAAUUCUUCGAACUGCACGUAUAUGAGGUCAUCUCCACGGAAGUAGUGAUGUU